rnacentral:misc_RNA from 1 species
CGCAACUUGCGCCCUCUGGUAUUCCGGAGGGCAUGCCUGUUUGAGUGUCAUGUGGACUCAAUCCCCCGGGGUUUCCGGGAAGGUUGGACCUGGGCGUUGCCGUCUCCCGGCUCGCCUCAAAUGUCUCAGUGGGGAUCGGCCCCCGUCGGGAGUAAUAAGUUUCUUCUGAUGGGGAUGGCUUGAUGAACCGCUCAUAACACGUGCCCUUCGGCACACCUUUUGACUCUGACCUCAAAUCAGGUAGGGCUACCCGCUGAACUUAA